rnacentral:rRNA from 1 species
GAUGAACGCUGGCGGCGUGCCUAAUACAUGCAAGUCGAGCGAACAGACGAGGAGCUUGCUCCUCUGACGUUAGCGGCGGACGGGUGAGUAACACGUGGAUAACCUACCUAUAAGACUGGGAUAACUUCGGGAAACCGGAGCUAAUCCCGGAUAAUAUAUUGAACCGCAUGGUUCAAUAGUGAAAGACGGUUUUGCUGUCACUUCUAGAUGGAUCCGCGCCGCAUUAGCUAGUUGGUAAGGUAACGGCUUACCAAGGCGACGAUGCGUAGCCGACCUGAGAGGGUGAUCGGCCACACUGGAACUGAGACACGGUCCAGACUCCUACGGGAGGCAGCAGUAGGGAAUCGGCCGCAAUAGGCGAAAGCCUGACGGAGCAACGCCGCGUGAGUGAUGAAGGUCUUCGGAUCGUAAAACUCUGUUAUUAGGGAAGAACAAAUGUGUAAGUAACUAUGCACGUCUUGACGGUACCGAAUCAGAAAGCCACGGCUAACUACGUG